rnacentral:rRNA from 1 species
GAGUUUGAUCAUGGCUCAGGACGAACGCUGGCGGCGUGCUUAACACAUGCAAGUCGAGCGAUGAAGCUUCCUUCGGGAAGUGGAUUAGCGGCGGACGGGUGAGUAACACGUGGGCAACCUGCCUCAAAGAGGGGAAUAGCCCUCCGAAAGGAGGAUUAAUACCGCAUAAAGUUAGAGUUUCGCAUGAAACUUUAACCAAAGGAGUAAUCUGCUUUGAGAUGGGCCCGCGUCCCAUUAGCUAGUUGGUAAGGUAAUGGCUUACCAAGGCAACGAUGGGUAGCCGACCUGAGAGGGUGAUCGGCCACAUUGGAGCUGAGACACGGUCCAGACUCCUACGGGAGGCAGCAGUGGGGAAUAUUGCGCAAUGGGGGAAACCCUGACGCAGCAACGCCGCGUGGGUGAUGAAGGUUUUCGGAUCGUAAAACCCUGUUUUCUGGGACGAUAAUGACGGUACCAGAUGAGGAAGCCACGGCUAACUACGUGCCAGCAGCCGCGGUAAUAC